rnacentral:snRNA from 1 species
GUGCUCGCUUCGGCAACACAUACACUAAAAUUGAAACGAUACAGAGAAGAUUAGCAUGGCCCCUGUGCAGGGAUGACAAACAAAUUCGUGAAGUGUUCCAUAAUUUU